rnacentral:rRNA from 1 species
AUUGAACGCUGGCGGCAGGCUUAACACAUGCAAGUCGAGCGAGCGGCGGACGGGUGCGUAAUGUAUGGGAAACUGCCUGAUGGAGGGGGAUAACUCCUGGAAACGGUAGAUAAUACCGCAUACCAUCAGAUGUGCCCAUAUGGGAUUAGCUAGUAGGUGGGGUAAUGGCUCACCUAGGCGACGAUCCAUAUCUGGUCUGAGAGGAUGACCAGCCACCCUGGAACUGAGCCACGGUCCAGACUCCUACGGAAGGCAGCAGUGGGGAAUAGUGCACAAUGGGCUCAAUCCUGAUGCAGCCAUUCCGCAUGUGUGAACAGGUCCUUCGGGUUGUAAAGCACUUGCAGCGAGGAGGCGUUACUCGCAGAAGAAGCACCGGCUAACUCCGUGCCAGCAGCCGCGGUAAUAC